UUCGAUCAACUUUUAUUUAAAAAAGCAGAAGAAUAAAUGAAUCAACUUUACAUGUAAGCCUGUCAAGGAGGAAGCAAAGGAUAUAGAAACUUAUAACAAUGGACAAAGAUUUAUAAUUGUGUGGAACUAUCUUUACAUUGUAAAUGCCAAUGUAUCCUGAUUCCUCUAUUGCAUAAAUCGAGAGAAAUCUAAUAAUUCCAUUAUGUUGUUUACUUGUUCCAGAGAAAAUGUGAAGAUAUACAUAUCUACAUAAUUAAUCAAUAAAGUGUGAAAUUUUAAAAAUUAUCAUAAAAGAAGAGCAACCAACACAAAGUUCAAAUUUCUUCUAUGUUCAUGACAGUAGAACAGUAGGAUAAUAGUGCCAAAAUUUGUGUUCUACAAACCCUAGCUGUCAUGUUGUCAAGAAGGAGACCCAGUGUAUUUUCACUGCAUGGAAAUGAUAUGGAAUGUCUUUAA